AUUGAACGCUGGCGGCAUGCCUUACACAUGCAAGUCGAACGGCAGCACGGGGGCAACCCUGGUGGCGAGUGGCGAACGGGUGAGUAAUGCAUCGGAACGUGCCCAGUAGUGGGGGAUAACCCGGCGAAAGCCGGGCUAAUACCGCAUACGACCUACGGGUGAAAGCGGGGGACCGUAAGGCCUCGCGCUAUUGGAGCGGCCGAUGUCUGAUUAGCUAGUUGGCGGGGUAAAGGCCCACCAAGGCGCCGAGCAGUAGCUGGUCUGAGAGGACGACCAGCCAGACUGGGACUGAGACACGGCCCAGACUCCUACGGGAGGCAGCAGUGGGGAAUUUUGGACAAUGGGCGCAAGCCUGAUCCAGCCAUGCCGCGUGCGGGAAGAAGGCCUUCGGGUUGUAAACCGCUUUUGGCAGGAACGAAACGGCGCAAGCUAAUACCUUGCGCUAAUGACGGUACCUGCAGAAUAAGCACCGGCUAACUACGUGCCAGCCGCCGCGGUAACAC
rnacentral:rRNA from 1 species